CCCCAACCCCGUCCACUUGAUGUCCAGCGUACGCUGAAAUGAUCAAGACACAGUUUGCACUUAACCACUAAAUCUUUAUUGAAUUUUUAUUAUAACAUCAGUUGAUACAUUAGCAAAUAGAGAGAAAUACAGAGUAAAUAGCAAUAAAUGGGCAAGGGUAGGGAGGUGGCGCAGGGGCAGGUGGGCAGUGAGGAGUUAGGAAGAAGGGGCAGGGGUAAGAAGAAGGGCCACUGACAGGGGCAUAACCAACGGUUCUUAUUCAUCACUUUUCUGUAACUUCCAUGAAUCUUUACCAUCUAUAGUUAUCAAUCCUCAGGGCAAAGAGCCUCUAUUAGAUUAUUUUUAUCCAAUCAUCCCUGAACUUUCUCCCACUAAUUUCUAUCCGUGUCCAACAGCCCCCAAAAGGUUGAUCUCCCUGCAGUUCCCUUCAAGUUUAUCUGAAAUCUUUAGGGGUAGCAAUUAUAGAGGAAAGAAUCACAAGGAGGUGCACAUGUUUACUUAUAGCGGUAUCUAAUAGUAUCAUGAUUAUAUAUAUCCCCAAGUAAAUCGUUACACAAAGAAAAAAAAAAAACAAGCAAAGUUUCCACAGACCACUUUGAUAGCUUUCUACAAUCUGAAACAACAAAGAACUCUCAAUCCUAACUGAUGCACCUUCUUUCUUUAAGACGAAAGCGUGGCAUGGUUCCCAUCAGGCUCUUCAUCUCUGCAGGUGGUUCUCUUCAUUUCUGCCCAGGUCUUUCCAGCAGAGCGUUCUCUGUUGCCAGUCUUGGAAUUCUGAUGUUAGAUGUCUGUGGUGGAUGAUGACUGGAUCAAUUCAGGAGUCCACAAGGUACCUGCAAACUUAAACAGAAACCCUGACUGCACUGUGGAGGUGUGCCCUCUUAUUCUGCCUGCCUGAAGUUCACUGUGCCAACUCACAUGAUUUAUUCCAACCAACUCUCCAUUUUCCAGUAUCUAAUACAAGUACCUCAUUGCUCAAACUAAACUGACCCUUCAGAAAUGUAUAUAAACUUC
rnacentral:lncRNA from 1 species